UUUGUGGUCGUACUAAGUGCCUUUGACA
rnacentral:sRNA from 1 species